CCUUACGGUAAUGAUGAUGAUGGUAAAAUGUUUAUUAAAAAUGAUUUGCUGACAUUUGUGUACUUGGAUCAGUUCUUGUAGGAAAACCAAUUACCUUUUCGUGUUCUUGAAUUGCUUACAAGCCAGAGAGAAAAUGGCGAAAAAUUCAUGAAUGUAAUCCAAAGGUUCAUGACAAUACUGUUAUCAACCCAGGCGAGGAUAGGGUAACCGACUCUUCAAAGAGGGAAAAUUUGAACUUGCCAGGGCAAAAUAUGAAAAUAUGUCUAAUGUGAUGCUGGAUAUGUUUACUUCAAGAAAAAUAAAGAGUGAGAUGUUGAGGGAAUCUUAUGCAUUGGCUUUCUCAAACGUUCUCGCCAGCAAAAGGAAAUUACAAGGGAACAAGCAGUUCAAGAUCUGGAGGUAGCAGUUCAAGAUCUGGAGGUAAGGUAUGAGAGUUGCUCAAAGUUGGUCUUUUGGUCUACAUCUUGCCUUGAUGAUUUCUUAUUUAUGUAUUCUUUUGUUUGAUCAAUUGGAGGUCUAGUCAUACUCUGAAUGCUUCUUUUUUAUAUUCAAACCUCUCCU